rnacentral:rRNA from 1 species
UAGGGAAUCUUCGGCAAUGGACGAAAGUCUGACCGAGCAACGCCGCGUGAGUGAAGAAGGUUUUCGGAUCGUAAAGCUCUGUUGUAAGAGAAGAACGGGUGUGAGAGUGGAAAGUUCACACUGUGACGGUAUCUUACCAGAAAGGGACGGCUAACUACGUGCCAGCAGCCGCGGUAAUACGUAGGUCCCGAGCGUUGUCCGGAUUUAUUGGGCGUAAAGCGAGCGCAGGCGGUUAGAUAAGUCUGAAGUUAAAGGCUGUGGCUUAACCAUAGUACGCUUUGGAAACUGUUUAACUUGAGUGCAGAAGGGGAGAGUGGAAUUCCAUGUGUAGCGGUGAAAUGCGUAGAUAUAUGGAGGAACACCGGUGGCGAAAGCGGCUCUCUGGUCUGUAACUGACGCUGAGGCUCGAAAGCGUGGGGAGCGAACAGGAUUAGAUACCCUGGUAGUCCACGCCGUAAACGAUGAGUGCUAGGUGUUAGGCCCUUUCCGGGGCUUAGUGCCGCAGCUAACGCAUUAAGCACUCCGCCUGGGGAGUACGACCGCAAGGUUG